GAUGAACGCUAGCGGAGGCUUAACACAUGCAAGGUCGAGGGGCAGCAUAGGGUAGCAAUACUCUGAUGGCGACCGGCAAACGGGUGAGUAACGCGUAUGUAACCUACCCUGUACAGGGGGAUAACCCGGAGAAAUUCGGACUAAUAUCCCAUAACAAUAUCCGGGGGCAUCUUUGGAUAUUUAAAGUUCCGGCGGUACGGGAUGGGCAUGCGUAACAUUAGCUAGUUGGUAAGGUAACGGCUUACCAAGGCUUUGAUGUUUAGGGGUCCUGAGAGGGUGGUCCCCCACACUGGUACUGAGACACGGACCAGACUCCUACGGGAGGCAGCAGUGAGGAAUAUUGGUCAAUGGGCGCAAGCCUGAACCAGCCAUCCCGCGUGCAGGAAGACGGCGCUAUGCGUUGUAAACUGCUUUUCCAGGGAGAGAAACUUGCGCACGUGUUGCGCAAUUGACGGUACCCUGGGAAUAAGCAUCGGCUAACUCCGUG
rnacentral:rRNA from 1 species